rnacentral:rRNA from 1 species
UACGGGGGGGGCAAGCGUUGUUCGGAAUUACUGGGCGUAAAGGGCUUGUAGGCGGCCAACUAAGUCGGAUGUGAAAUCCCCAAGCUUAACUUGGGAACUGCAUCCGAUACUGGAUGGCUUGAAUCCGGGAGAGGGAUGCAGAAUUCCAGGUGUAGCGGUGAAAUGCGUAGAUAUCUGGAGGAAUACCGGUGGCGAAGGCGGCAUCCUGGACCAAUAUUGACGCUGAGGAGCGAAAGCUAGGGGAGCAAACGGG